rnacentral:misc_RNA from 1 species
GGUUAAAUAUUUGAAGAUACUUCUGUCACAUAUUAUAGGGAAAGGAAGAGGGCUUAACACAAUGGGGGAAGUUAUGCUAUAUAUGAAUAAUUAAUUUUCCUUAAAAUUGCCACCUUCAACUCCUCCACCCUCUUUAAGAGAAGAAAACACCAGAAAUGGGGGGGUCAGUUCCAGAUUAGAGUGGGGAUGUUUUCUGUUGAGCAUAAUGGAGAACUUAUGCGCACUGAGUAGUUUUUGAAAUUUCAGAUGGUAAACAACACUUCUAUAAACACUUUGCUACAUCUUUUUAAUAAAUGCACAAACAUGGAAUCUUCAUUGUAUC